GUGGGGAAUAUUGGACAAUGGGGGCAACCCUGAUCCAGCAAUGCCGCGUGAGUGAAGAAGGCCUUAGGGUUGUAAAACUCUUUCAGUGGGGAAGAUAAUGACGGUACCCACAGAAGAAGCUCCGGCUAACUCCGUGCCAGCAGCCGCGGUAAUACGGAGGGAGCUAGCGUUGUUCGGAAUUACUGGGCGUAAAGCGUACGUAGGCGGAUUGACAAGUUGGGGGUGAAAUCCCAGGGCUUAACCCUGGAACUGCCCUCAAAACUAUCGAUCUAGAGACCGGGAGAGGUAAGCGGAAUUCCUAGUGUAGAGGUGAAAUUCGUAGAUAUUAGGAAGAACACCAGUGGCGAAGGCGGCUUACUGGACCGGUACUGACGCUAAGGUACGAAAGCGUGGGGAGCAAACAGG
rnacentral:rRNA from 1 species